rnacentral:rRNA from 1 species
AUACGGAGGAUCCGAGCGUUAUUCGGAUUUAUUGGGUUUAAAGGGUGCGCAGGCGGCCAUUUAAGUCAGCGGUUAAAUCGUGGGGCUCAACCCCAUUCUGCCGUUGAUACUGGGUGGCUUGAUUGCGGUCGAGGUUGGCGGAAUUCGUUGUGUAGCGGUGAAAUGCAUAGAUAUGACGAAGAACACCGAUUGCGUAGGCAGCUGACCAGAACGCAAAUGACGCUCAUGCACUAAAGUGCGGGGAUCGAACAGGAUUAGAUACCCUGGUAGUCCGCACAGUAAACGAUGAAUACUUGUUUUCGGCGAUAUAAUGUCGGAGGCAAAGCGAAAGCGAUAAGUAUUCCACCUGGGGAGUACGCCAGCAACGGUGAAACUCAAAGGAAUUGACGGGG